rnacentral:rRNA from 1 species
GUCGAACGGUGAAGGCGGGAGCUUGCUCCUGCUGGAUCAGUGGCGAACGGGUGAGUAACACGUGAGUAACCUGCCCUUGACUCUGGGAUAAGCGUUGGAAACGACGUCUAAUACCGGAUACGAGCUUCAGCCGCAUGGCUAGGAGCUGGAAAGAACUUCGGUCAAGGAUGGACUCGCGGCCUAUCAGCUAGUUGGUGAGGUAAUGGCUCACCAAGGCGACGACGGGUAGCCGGCCUGAGAGGGUGACCGGCCACACUGGGACUGAGACACGGCCCAGACUCCUACGGGAGGCAGCAGUGGGGAAUAUUGCACAAUGGGCGCAAGCCUGAUGCAGCAACGCCGCGUGAGGGACGACGGCCUUCGGGUUGUAAACCUCUUUUAGCAGGGAAGAAGCGAAAGUGACGGUACCUGCAGAAAAAGCACCGGCUAACUACGUGCCAGCAGCCGCGGUAAUACGUAGGGUGCAAGCGUUGUCCGGAAUUAUUGGGCGUAAAGAGCUCGUAGGCGGUUUGUCGCGUCUGCUGUGAAAACGCGAGGCUCAACCUCGCGCCUGCAGUGGGUACGGGCAGACUAGAGUGCGGUAGGGGAGAUUGGAAUUCCUGGUGUAGCGGUGGAAUGCGCAGAUAUCAGGAGGAACACCAA